CUUAACACAUGCAAGUCGAGGGGAAACGACGGGGAAGCUUGCUUCCCCGGGCGUCGACCGGCGCACGGGUGAGUAACGCGUAUCCAACCUGCCUCUGACUGAGGGAUAACCCGUCGAAAGUCGGCCUAAUACCUCAUGGCAUCGUCUGCGGGCAUCCAACGACGAUUAAAGAUUUCAUCGGUCAGGGAUGGGGAUGCGUCUGAUUAGCUGGUUGGCGGGGUAACGGCCCACCAAGGCUACGAUCAGUAGGGGUUCUGAGAGGAAGGUCCCCCACAUUGGAACUGAGACACGGUCCAAACUCCUACGGGAGGCAGCAGUGAGGAAUAUUGGUCAAUGGGCGAGAGCCUGAACCAGCCAAGUAGCGUGCAGGAUGACGGCCCUAUGGGUUGUAAACUGCUUUUAUGCGGGGAUAAAGUGCAGGACGUGUCCUUCAUUGCAGGUACCGCAUGAAUAAGGACCGGCUAAUUCCGUGCCAGCAG
rnacentral:rRNA from 1 species